CGCAUAAGGAUAGAAGGCAGCUAUCUCUUCAGGGGCAUUGCAAAACAGCGUCUACUCCAAUUGAAGAAGUCCAUUCUAUGGUCAACCUUGUNUUUUCUUUAACGAUCUCCGUGAUAGUAAAGGUUUUUUUGGUAGCCUUUGCUUUUGACGGCGAUGAAAGAAAGAGAACCCCUCCUAUCUUUUGAUCGUGGUCAAAAUCCUAUCCAAGUCCCCUUUUUUAAGAUCUUUCUCCUGGUUUUGAUCAUCACCGUUCACCUACUUGUUACGGAGAUCCCGACCAAUGCACAAUCCAGAUUUUUUUAGCUUUUUUUCUCCCAUCCCAUCUUGGACGGGCCCAGAAGCUUUUCUCAUGUUUGAAUGGAGGUCUUCCGCAAAUGAAUUUCCAUAUAGAAAUUAUAUAAUGUGCCUGCAGAUAUUGAUUGAAAGCUUGUUUCAAUUGAACGAGGAUGUGAACGAGAAGGCAACAAAAGGGAGCUUGGAGCAAGAGGAGUCAUUUAGUAGUUCACGAAAAAAGGCAUAGUAGAGAAAGGCGGACCAGGCAAUCUCAGAGUGGAAAUCGACACCAUUCAUCCAUCUAUCUCUGCAUCCGGGCUCGCCUCCACUAUUGUUCCGGGUUGAUGAAAGAUCCAACUCCAGAAACCAUACCUACUUCCUGCUUUCGAAAGUGCUUGCUUGCUGACGGGCAUCCCGGUGGGAUGUCUUACCCUCCCUCGAGUCCGAUCUCGGGAGGGCGCUUGGGCUUUUUUUAUUCCCAGGUGUCCGUUUUAUAAAUGCGUAUCGUGAUCCUAGUAUCGGGCUAGGAUUGGCUCUGGUCUAAAACAAGCUUGACCUAAGAACCGCCCUUAAGCAAGGCAGGCAUACGCGCACCUAUAUGUCAAGAUACCUAUUAAGAUUGAAAAAAAGGAAAUCUUUAACAUGCGCAUAAGGAUAGAAGGCAGCUAUCUCUUCAGGGGCAUUGCAAAACAGCGUCUACUCCAAUUGAAGAAGUCCAUUCUAUGGUCAACCUUGUGGCUCCAAACUAGCACUGAUCCUCAGGAGUGAUGCCUCCUCUCGUCAAAAGUCGGUAUAUACAUGUUCUUGGAAGCAAAGAAAGAAUCUCAUGUAUCAGAGCGGAUACGAUAAUCAGUCGUGCAUAUUAUUAUCAUAUAUAAAUAAAACGAGAUGAGUGGGAUUGAGGAAGAAGGGGAGAGUAAUGGAAGCUGCUUUAGAGAAGGAAAUCCGAAGCAUUACGAGAUCAAAAGAGCUGAGAAUGAGUCGUCAAAUAAGCUCUACGUUAAGAGAAUGGUGGAAACCAGCGCGCAAACUUCAUUCUCUCCUAGGAUGCAUCAUGGGAAAAUCUCAAGACGAUAUAGUGAUGUCGCUUAUCCUACUACAAAGAUUAGGGCUAAUGGAGUAGGAUUCUUAAAAUAUCUACCAAAAAAAGAGAACUUAUAUAAAUAUAAGAAAAUGAGACAGUAAUGAGGUCCAUAUCGUCAUCGUAAUAAAAAGAAAGAUCUGCAAGCAUUCUUUAUGGGAGUCGGGGCUUUCUGAUUUGAAGUUGCUGGAAAAGGACCUGUGUGAUCGGUUGAUCAUUAGUCGUUUUUUUUUCAGGUAAGUAGGCAGGGGUGUCUUGAUCGAAACCGAACUUCAAUUCCACCCAGCUCAGAUUCUACGCAGCAGUGGGGAAGACCUGUUUAUACUUUUUUUGAGAAUUCCAUUCCUGAUGAGAAACUAUCAGAUAUUCCUCCUAUUCCGGAAGGUUUUCUAGCCACCUGCUUAGAGAUUUGACGGACUACCAAUCCAAAUAGCAGUCAAGAAAGAAUCCAAGUUGCAGUCAAGAUAGAUGGAAUGGACUAGGGCGCAAGGAAAGAGAUCCAAAACGAGAGCGAUCAUUCAUUCCCUCUUUCUCUGGCCAAGCUAUUCAACUGUCGACUAUUCUCACUCC
rnacentral:lncRNA from 1 species